rnacentral:rRNA from 1 species
CAGCCGCCACGGUAAAACGAAGGGUGCAAGCGUUACUCGGAAUUACUGGGCGUAAAGCGUGCGUAGGUGGUGGUUUAAGUCCGUUGUGAAAGCCCUGGGCUCAACCUGGGAAUUGCAGUGGAUACUGGGUCACUAGAGUGUGGUAGAGGAUAGUGGAAUUUCCGGUGUAGCAGUGAAAUGCGUAGAGAUCGGAAGGAACAUCUGUGGCGAAGGCGACUAUCUGGGCCAACACUGACACUGAGGCACGAAAGCGUGGGGAGCAAACAGGAUUAGAUACCCGAGUAGUCCCUGUCUCUUAUAC